GAAAAUAGCAGGCGCCCAGGCCUGGAAGUGAAAGACAAACUGGGACAGAACACUCCGGGAGGUGUUGAGAAACAGAAGCGAAACUUCAUCAGAUGGUCAGGCUUGAAUUCUGGUCCCUGCACCUGCCUCAGAGGAUGGGGCAGGAGGUAGCACAGGUCCCCA